CACAUCAUUAUCUUCUAAAUAAUUUAUCUGAUACGUGAUCACACAGAUGAAGGGUAGAGCCAUUACGGAGAAGCAUUAAAGCAACUACAGCCUCUGCUGGGCUUCCCUAUCUCCCAUGCCAUUUACUCCAUCCUCCAAAGUGCUCCAAAACAGCUGUUAAUUUGUAAUCCAGUUUCAAGUUUGAUCUUAACAUCAAAUAGCAUAACGGAGAACCACAGCUGAUAAAUACUAGCGUGCCUGUCAGCAGGACACUUACUACUCAGUCUUUUUGCUAUGGAAAUUCAACUGUUAAGGGCUUCAAAAUGUAGGAAAGGGAAUAUUAAAGAAAAAAGUGUUAUCAAGGUUGAAGAGCUCAAAAUUGUGGGACUGUAUUUCUUCCUUUAUUGCAAAAAGUUACUUGCUUUUUAAUUUUUUAUUUAUUUUUUUAAAGGGCAUAGAUCGUUGCUGUUAACAACUGAUAAACAUCCACCAAAUAUAAAACCAAAGGAAGGGUGGGAGGGAAGUCAACAAAAUGUUGGGACAAACCAGAAAUUGCUCACAAGAGCUGACAAUACGAAACAGUGCAAUUGGAUCUCGUUACCAUGCACCUCUUCCUCCAGAAACAUCAGGACACCUGUGUAGCUUUUAUUUAAAACUGCAUCUGCUGCUACCUUUCCAGUUCCCCUCUGAUUCCCCCUACUUCCCUUGAACUACGGCACAGAGGUGCAAUACAUGCUCACAGUAACAUGACCACCAUAGCCUGAGCACAGCCCUGCUGCAAGAACAGGCUGUUCAACACCCUUUGGGUUUGUCCUUUGGGACAUCCCUGUCAGAAGACAACAGGUGUUUACACACAUUGACAGGAUUGCACUUGAGCCUUCUCUUCUCCAGGCUGACAGUCCCAGCUCCCUCAGCCUUUCCUCAGAGGAGAGGUGCUCCAGUCUCUUCAGCAUCUGUGUAGCCCUUUGAUGGACUCUCUCCAGUAGCUCCAUGUCUGUCCUGUACUGAGGAGACCAGAAGUGAACUCAGUUCUCCAGAUGCAGCCUCACCAGAGCUGGACAAGGAGGAAGGAUCACCUUCCCUCAUCAACCUGCUGGCAACACUUCCUAGCCCAGCCCAGAAGGUUAUCUGCCUUCUCUGCCACAGGGGCACAUUACUGGCUCAAAGUCAGCUUGUUGAACACCUAGUACCCCAAGCUACUUCUCUGCAGAGCUGCUUUGCAGCUGGCCAGCCCCCAGCACCUACUAGUGCCUGCGGAUACUCCUCCCCAGGCACAGGAUUCUACAUUUCCCUUUGCUGAUCUAGAUGAGAUGCCCCUCAGCCCAGUUCUCCAGUCUGUCCAUCUCCCUCUACAUGGCAGCACAACCACGUGGUAUAUGAACCCCCCAGUCCUGGUUUUGUUCUCUGGCAAACCUGCUGAGGGUGCACUGUAUCAACAUCCAGGUCAUUAACAA